CUCCGGGCCCGCCCCCGCCCGGAGCCCCGCCGGCAAUGGCGCCCGCCGCCUCCCGGAGGUGAUGCCAGGCGAUGCCAGGCGAUGCCAGGCGAUGCCCGCCGGUCCCUUCCCGGUCCCGGCGCCUAUCACAGCAAAGCCGUCAGUCCCUCGCCCACCGCCCCCCUCUCCUCCUCGCCCGCAGAAAGGGGUGGGCACUGCCCCUGCCCCACCGGAGGAGGAGGAGGAAGAAAGGAGGAGGAGGGAGAGGGGCUUGGGGGCCACUAGGACCCCGGCCUCCUCCCGGUGAAGCCCAAGGAUGCUCCCCCUCCGAGCUUCGCUGGCAAGAACUGUGA
rnacentral:lncRNA from 1 species